GAGAAGGAGAGGAAGGAAGAGAGAGGAUCAAUUAGUGAAUGAAGAUAAUGAAAAUGGCCCUUACACAGAGGUCUUAGUCACUGCCACAAAGGGGCUGGAGGAAACGGCAAGGGGCUGCCCUGGGUGGAGGUUAGACAGGGCUUCUCGGGGCGGACGGGUGGAGGUUGGACAGGGCUUCUCGGGGCUGCCCUGGGUGGAGGUUAGACAGGGCUUCUCGGGGCGGACGGGUGGAGGUUAGACAGGGCUUCUCGGGGCGGACGGGUGGAGGUUGGACAGGGCUUCUCGGGGCGGACGCGUGGAGGUUGGACAGGGCUUCUCGGGGCGGACGCGUGGAGGUUGGACAGGGCUUCUCGGGGCGGACCUGGGUGGAGGUUAGACAGGGCUUCUCGGGGCGGACGCGUGGAGGUUGGACAGGGCUUCUCGGGGCGGACGGGUGGAGGUUGGACAGGGCUUCUCGGGGCGGACGGGUGGAGGUUGGACAGGGCUUCUCGGGGCGGACGGGUGGAGGUUGGACAGGGCUUCUCGGGGCUGCCCUGGGUGGAGGUUGGACAGGGCUUCUCGGGGCGGACGGGUGGAGGUUGGACAGGGCUUCUCGGGGCGGACGGGUGGAGGUUGGACAGGGCUUCU